CAAACCCCUGUGACAUACCACUUGUUGCCUCGGCGGAUCAGCCCGCUCCCGGUAAAACGGGACGGCCCGCCAGAGGACCCCUAAACUCUGUUUCUAUGAUGUAACUUCUGAGUAAAACCAGACUAAAUAAAUCAAAACUUUCAACAACGGAUCUCUUGGUUACUGGCAUCGAUGAAGAACGCAGCAAAAUGCGAUAAGUAAUGUGAAUUGCAGAAUUCAGUGAAUCAUCGAAUCUUUGAACGCACAUUGCGCCCGCCAGUAUUCUGGCGGGCAUGCCUGUUCGAGCGUCAUUUCAACCCUCAAGCCCUCGGGUUUGGUGUUGGGGAUCGGCGAGCCCUUGCGGCAUUAGCCGGCCCCGAAAUCUAGUGGCGGUCUCGCUGCAGCCUCCAUUGCGUAGUAGUAAAACCCUCGCAACUGGAACGCGGCGCGGCCAAGCCGUUAAACCCCCAACUUCUGAAUGUUGACCUCGGAUCAGGUAGGAAUACCCGCUGAACUUAAGCAUAUCAAUAAGGCAUAUCAAUAAGGCGGGAGGAAACUUUA
rnacentral:rRNA from 1 species